rnacentral:rRNA from 1 species
UACCACAGCCAUAUCACCCAGCAGCCCAAGACUGGUAACUCGCUGAAGCUUAGCAGGGCUAAGUCUGGUUAGUAUCUGGAUGGAAGACCACAUAGGAAAACUAGGUUGCUGUUGAAA